rnacentral:rRNA from 1 species
UAGUCCACGCUGUAAACGAUGAGUGCUAGGUGUCGGCGUAAGUCGGUGCCGCAGUUAACACAAUAAGCACUCCGCCUGGGGAGUACGUGCGCAAGCAUGAAACUCAAAGGAAUUGACGGGGACCCGCACAAGCAGCGGAGCAUGUGGUUUAAUUCGAAGCAACGCGAAGAACCUUACCAAGGCUUGACAUACUGAGGAAAGACUUAGAGAUAAGUCCCUCUCUUCGGAGACCUCAAUAC